GACGAACGCUGGCGGCGUGCUUAACACAUGCAAGUCGAACGGAAAGGCCCUGCUUUUGUGGGGUGCUCGAGUGGCGAACGGGUGAGUAACACGUGAGUAACCUGCCCUUGACUUUGGGAUAACUUCAGGAAACUGGGGCUAAUACCGGAUAGGAGCUCCUGCUGCAUGGUGGGGGUUGGAAAGUUUCGGCGGUUGGGGAUGGACUCGCGGCUUAUCAGCUUGUUGGUGGGGUAGUGGCUUACCAAGGCUUUGACGGGUAGCCGGCCUGAGAGGGUGACCGGCCACAUUGGGACUGAGAUACGGCCCAGACUCCUACGGGAGGCAGCAGUGGGGAAUAUUGCACAAUGGGCGGAAGCCUGAUGCAGCAACGCCGCGUGCGGGAUGACGGCCUUCGGGUUGUAAACCGCUUUCGCCUGUGACGAAGCGUGAGUGACGGUAAUGGGUAAAGAAGCACCGGCUAACUACGUGCCAGCAGCCGCGGUGAUACGUAGGGUGCGAGCGUUGUCCGGAUUUAUUGGGCGUAAAGGGCUCGUAGGUGGUUGAUCGCGUCGGAAGUGUAAUCUUGGGGCUUAACCCUAAGCGUGCUUUCGAUACGGGUUGACUUGAGGAAGGUAGGGGAGAAUGGAAUUCCUGGUGGAGCGGUGGAAUGCGCAGAUAUCAGGAGGAACACCAGUGGCGAAGGCGGUUCUCUGGGCCUUUCCUGACGCUGAGGAGCGAAAGCGUGGGGAGCGAACAGGCUUAGAUACCCUGGUAGUCCACGCUGUAAACGGUGGGUACUAGGUGUGGGGUCCAUUCCACGGGUUCCGUGCCGUAGCUAACGCUUUAAGUACCCCGCCUGGGGAGUACGGCCGCAAGGCUAAAACUCAAAGGAAUUGACGGGGCCCCGCACAAGCGGCGGAGCAUGCGGAUUAAUUCGAUGCAACGCGUAGAACCUUACCUGGGUUUGACAUGGAUCGGGAGCGCUCAGAGAUGGGUGUGCCUCUUUUGGGGUCGGUUCACAGGUGGUGCAUGGCUGUCGUCAGCUCGUGUCGUGAGAUGUUGGGUUAAGUCCCGCAACGAGCGCAACCCUUGUUCACUGUUGCUAGCACGUUAUGGUGGGGACUCAGUGGAGACCGCCGGGGUCAACUCGGAGGAAGGUGGGGAUGACGUCAAGUCAUCAUGCCCCUUAUGUCCAGGGCUUCACGCAUGCUACAAUGGCUGGUACAGAGAGUGGCGAGCCUGUGAGGGUGAGCGAAUCUCGGAAAGCCGGUCUCAGUUCGGAUUGGGGUCUGCAACUCGACCUCAUGAAGUCGGAGUCGCUAGUAAUCGCAGAUCAGCAACGCUGCGGUGAAUACGUUCCCGGGGCU
rnacentral:rRNA from 1 species